rnacentral:lncRNA from 1 species
UUCAAGAUUCUAACUACAAACAGUAUCACUACAAGAAAUGUGAUAUUAAGUAGCACCAAACUCCAUCCAAAGUGCUUGACAGAAUUAGCUUUCGUAUAAAACGAAGUCUCACCUGUUUUAGGAGUGUGAAAUCUAACACAUCCGGCUGUAUUAGGGUUAGAUUGCCAGCUUGGGUGGGUCAGGCUACUUCCUAAGCAAAUUAAUUCAAAGAAAAAAAAUAAAAGCAAAGGGACCCCUUAGAUCGAUGGGUCAUCCAACUCGCCAAAUCAUCUGUGCUUGAGUUUGAAAUAGAGCCUCAUGACCUCCUCUUCGCUUAGCAAUGGUGGAAGUUUCAGCAGAUCUCUCUUUUAUUACGCUAUAUAUAUAUAUAUAUACCAAUAAAGAUUCGUAGUAGACAUCCAUGGUCGCGACAGUGAUUGAAGUUUUCUUCC